GGGGAAUAUUGCGCAAUGGGGGCAACCCUGACGCAGCAACGCCGCGUGAAGGAAGAAGGCCUUCGGGUUGUAAACUUCUUUGGUCGGGGACGAAAAUGACGGUACCCGAGGAACAAGCCACGGCUAACUACGUGCCAGCAGCCGCGGUAAUACGUAGGUGGCAAGCGUUGUCCGGAAUUACUGGGCGUAAAGGGCGUGUAGGCGGGGAGGCAAGUCAGAUGUGAAAUUCCGGGGCUUAACCCCGGCGCUGCAUCUGAAACUGUUUCUCUUGAGUGCUGGAGAGGAAAGUGGAAUUCCCAGUGUAGCGGUGAAAUGCGUAGAGAUUGGGAGGAACACCAGUGGCGAAGGCGGCUUUCUGGACAGUAACUGACGCUGAGGCGCGAAAGCGUGGGGAGCAAAC
rnacentral:rRNA from 1 species